rnacentral:rRNA from 1 species
AUUGAACGCUGGCGGCAGGCCUAACACAUGCAAGUCGAGCGAGCGGCGGACGGGUGAGUAACGCCUGGGAAACUGCCUGAUGGAGGGGGAUAACUACUGGAAACGGUAGCUAAUACCGCGUACUCUCAGAUGAGCUCAGAUGGGAUUAGCUAGUUGGUGGGGUAACGGCCUACCUAGGCGUCGAUCCCUAGCUGGUCUGAGAGGAUGACCAGCCACCCGGGAAGUGAGACACGGUCCAGACUCCGACGGGAGGCAGCAGUGGGGAAUAUUGCACAAUGGGCGCAAGCCUGAUACAGCCAUGCCGCGUGUGUGAAGGCGGCCUUCGGGUUGUAAAGCACUUUCAGCGGGGGGGCGUUACCCGCAGAAGAAGCACCGGCUAACUCCGUGCCAGCAGCCGCGGUAAUUC